CUUUUGCUCCUACCUUAUACUUUGUAAGCACUUAAUAUAAAUAUAUACUUGCAUAUGUAUAUAUAUAGGUACAUGCAUUUUAGGAGGUUGUUGAAUUAUGCUUAUAAUUAAUGUCUAAAUAAUAUAUAAUAUGUAUAUGAUUGUGCAUUUUGUAGCUACCAUGCAUCAUUUGGCUUGUGAGAUACAAACCCAGAAGAAGGUUCAGUUUAUCUUGGUUUGCAAAUUGGGAAUUGCUGAAUUGAGGUUUUUUUUUUAAUAAUUAUUUGAAAAGAAGUUAUAUAUAUAAUUAAUUUCAUAUGUGUGUAACACAAAAUAAUUUGUUGUUGAUGAUGUUUCGGAUAUGUAUCGUAUUUGGUGUGCUGUUAAUGGUUUCUGGCUCCUAUUGGUGCACUAAGGAAUAUCAUACUUUAAGCCAAGAAUUACAAGUUUUAUUCUUAAUUUCCUUCUCAAAUCCAACA
rnacentral:lncRNA from 1 species